UGAGCAAUCUGCCUUUCUCAUCGGAAUAAGCGUUGGAAACGACGUCUAAUGCCGAAUACGACCUCCUUUCGCAUGAUCGGAGGUGGAAAGCUCCGGCGGAGAAGGAUGAGCUCGCGGCCUAUCAGCUAGUUGGUGUGGGUAAUGGCCCACAAGGCGACGACGGGUAGCCGGCCUGGAGAGGGUGACCGGCCACACGUGGGACUGAGAUACCGGCCCAGACCUCCGUACGGGAGCAG
rnacentral:rRNA from 1 species